UCUACCGGCCAUGCACCCCAAACUUGCCUGAUCUCAGAAGCCAAGCAGGGUUUGGCCUGGGUAGCACUUGGAUGGGAGAAAGGCCUACUGAAAUGUGUUCACAAGAGGGGACAGGGUGACAGGAGAU
rnacentral:rRNA from 1 species